rnacentral:rRNA from 1 species
UGAGGAAUCUUCCACAGUGGGCGAAAGCCUGAUGGAGCGACACCGCGUGAAGGAUGAAGGCUUUGUUGUUGUAAACUUCUUUUCUCUGGGAAGAUAAUGACGGUACCAGAGGAAUAAGGGACGGCUAACUACGUGCCAGCAGCCGCGGUAAUACGUAGGUCCCAAGCGUUAUCCGGAAUUACUGGGUGUAAAGCGUCUGUAGGCGGAUAGGUAAGUUUUGUAUGAAAGACCAGGGCUCAACCCUGUGUUUGUGCAAAAAACUGCCUUUCUAGAAUUAGGGAGAGGUAAGCGGAAUGGUAUGAGUAGAGGUGCAAUUCGUAGAUACAUACCAGAACACCAAAAGCGAAGGCAGCUUACUGGAACUAUAUUGACGCUGAGAGACGAAAGCGUGGGGAGCGAAAAGG